rnacentral:rRNA from 1 species
GUAGGUGGCAAGCGUUGUCCGGAAUUAUUGGGCGUAAAGCGCGCGCAGGCGGGUUCUUUAAGUCUGAUGUGAAAGCCCACGGGCUCAACCGUGGAGGGUAAUUGGAAACUGGAGAACUUGAGUACAGAAGAGGAAAGCGGAAUUCCACGUGUAGCGGUGAAAUGCGUAGAGAUGUGGAGGAACACCAGUGGCGAAGGCGGCUUUCUGGUCUGUAACUGACGCUGAGGCGCGAAAGCGUGGGGAGCAAACAGGAUUAGAUACCCUGGUAGUCCACGCCGUAAACGAUGAGUGCUAAGUGUUAGGGGGUUUCCGCCCCUUAGUGCUGCAGCUAACGCAUUAAGCACUCCGCCUGGGGAGUACGGCCGCAAGGCUG